UUAAUUCCUGCAUAGAAAUUUAAGAAGAACUUGUUUUAUUCCUCUCCAGGUGAUAAAGUCAUCCCGCUCUUUACUCCUCAGUGUGGAAAAUGCAGAGUGUGUAAAAGCCCAGAAGGCAACUACUGUGUGAAAAAUGAUCUGAGCAAUCCUCGGGGGACCCUGCAGGAUGGCACCAGGAGAUUCACCUGCAGGGGGAAGCCCAUUCACCACUUCGUUGGCACCAGCACCUUCUCCCAGUACACGGUGGUGGAUGAGAG